GACGAACGCUGGCGGCGUGCUUAACACAUGCAAGUCGAACGGAAAGGCCCUGCUUUUGUGGGGUGCUCGAGUGGCGAACGGGUGAGUAACACGUGAGUAACCUGCCCUUGACUUUGGGAUAACUUCAGGAAACUGGGGCUAAUACCGGAUAGGAGCUCCUGCUGCAUGGUGGGGGUUGGAAAGUUUCGGCGGUUGGGGAUGGACUCGCGGCUUAUCAGCUUGUUGGGGGGGUAGUGGCUUACCAAGGGUUUGACGGGUAGCCGGCCUGAGAGGGUGACCAGGCACCUGGGGACUAAGGGACGGCGCAGAAGCCAACGGGAGGCAGCAGGGGGGAAUAUUGCACAACGGGCGGGAGUGUGAUACAGAGGCGCCGCGUGCGGGAAGACGGGCUAUGAGUGAUAAACAGAUGUGUACGGUGACGAAGCGUGAGUGACGGUAAUGGAUAAGAAAGCACCGGCUAACUACGUG
rnacentral:rRNA from 1 species